GCAUACUUAAAUUCACACAGGACACCGGAUAAGAUAGGAGAAAUACUCCAGAUAUAACAGACUGACCCUAGCCCCCCGACACAAACUACUGCAGCAUAAAUACUGGAGGCUGAGACAGGAGGGGUCAGGAGACACUGUGGCCUCAUCUGAUGAUAUUGCCGGACAGGGCCAAACAGGAAGGAUAUAACCCCACCCACUUUGCCAAAGCACAGCCCCCACACCACUAGAGGGAUAUCUUCAAACACCAACUUACCAUCCUGAGACAAGGCCGAGUAUAGCCCACAAAGAUCUUCGCCACGGCACAACCCAAGGGGGGGGCGCCAACCCAGACAGGAAGACCACGUCAGUGACUCAACCCACUCAAGUGACGCACCCCUCUUAGGGACGGCAUGGAAGAACACCAAUAAGCCAGUGACUCAGCCCCUGUAAUAGGGUUAGAGGCAGAGAAUCCCAGUGAAGAGAGGGGAACCGGCUAGGCAGAGACAGCAAGGGCGGUUCGUUGCUCCAGAGCCUUUCCGUUCACCUUCACACUCCUGGGCCAGACUACACUCAAUCAUAGGACCCAUUGAAGAGAUGAGUCUUCAGUAAAGACUUAAAGGUUGAGACCGAGUCUGAUCUCUCACAUGGGUAGGCAGACUAUUCCAUAAAAAUGGAGCUCUAUAGGAGAAAGCCCUGCCUCCAGCUGUUUGCUUGGAAAUUCUAGGGACAAUUAGGAGGCCUGCGUCUUGUGACCGUAGCGUACGUGUAUGUAUGUACGGCAGGACCAAAUCGGAAAGAUAGGUAGGAGCAAGCCCAUGUAAUGCUUUGUAGGUUAGCAGUAAAACCUUGAAAUCAGCCCUUGCCUUAACAGGAAGCCAGUGUAGUGAGGCUAACACUGGAGUAAUAUGAUCAAAUUUUUUGGUUCUAGUCAGGAUUCUAGCAGCCGUAUUUAGCACUAACUGAAGUUUAUUUAGUGCUUUAUCCGGGUAGCCGGAAAGUAAAGCAUUGCAGUAGUCCAACCUAGAAGUAACAAAGGCAUGGAUUAAUUUUUCUGCGUCAUUUUUGGACAGAAAGUUUCUGAUUUUUGCAAUGUUACGUAGAUGGAAAAAAGCUGCCCUUGAAACAGUCUUGAUAUGUUCUUCAAAAGAGAGAUCAGGGUCCAGAGUAACGCCGAGGUCCUUCACAGUUUUAUUUGAGACGACUGUACAACCAUCAAGAUUAAUUGUCAGAUUUAACAGAAGAUCUCUUUGUUUCUUGGGACCUAGAACAAGCAUCUCUGUUUUGUCCGAGUUUAAAAGUAGAAAGUUUGCAGCCAUCCACUUCCUUAUGUCUGAAACACAGGCUUCUAGCGAGGGGAAUUUUGGGGCUUCACCAUGUUUCAUUGAAAUGUACAGCUGUGUGUCAUCCGCAUAGCAGUGAAAUGUAACAUUAUGUUUUCGAAUGACAUCCCCAAGAGGUAAAAUAUAUAGUGAAAACAAUAGUGGUCCUAAAACGGAACCUUGAGGAACACCGAAAUUUACAGAUGAUUUGGCAGAGGACAAACCAUUCACAGAGACAAACUGAUAUCUUUCCGACAGAUAAGAUCUAAACCAGGCCAGAACUUGUCCGUGUAGACCAAUUUGGGUUUCCAAUCACUCUAAAAGAAUGUGGUGAUCGAUGGUAUCAAAAGCAGCACUAAGAUCUAGGAGCACGAGGACAGAUGCAGAGCCUCCGUCUGACAUCAUUAAAAGGUCAUUUACCACCUUCACAAGUGCAGUCUCAGUGCUAUGAUGGGGUCUAAAACCAGACUGAAGCGUUUCGUAUACAUUGUUUGUCUUCAGGAAGGCAUCACUCGUCGUGUUGAAGGCAGCCAAUGCCCUGCUUCUAACUAUGAUGUUUUCACAUUGUGAAAACGUGAGCUGCUGUCUGAUGAAGAGGAACAGAUAUAGCUAGCUAGACUGAAAGACUGAACUAAGAUCAAUAUCUGUUUUUGAGUGCACUUAAAAUAUGUAGCAUGCUAAUAUACGAAUAUACAACAAUACGAAUUGUCUUGAUCAUAUGAAGAGUUAACUCCACUGACCAUCUAGCCAAUUUAUUGACAGCGAGGCCAAUAUUCCAGUUUGUCUAGCCUAGCCAGCUACUGUGUAAAUGUCAAUUGUGUUUCAUUAGCUAGCUAUCUCUCCGUCUGUGAAUUCCAUUCUUUUUAAUGUUUAUGGCAUAUAACGCUCAUUUCAAGUAACUAGCUGCAGGCUUAAAGAAACAUUAAAUCAUAUACUUUGCAUAGAAACCCAAAUAAAAGCAAGCAUCUAGAUAGAAAGAUGUGUGUGUGUGUGUGUGUGUGUGUGUGUGUGUGUGUGUGUGUGUGUGUGUGAUGGAGGAAAAUUACCAACCUAUAAGCAUUCUUACAGUCCUAUCAAAGGUAGCUGAAAGAUGGGUGGCUGAUCAUCUGACUGACCUCAUUCAAGGCAACCCUAUACAUCAAAUGCAAUUUGGAUUGAAAACUAACCAUUCUACCGAAACAGACAAUUGCUAUUUUCUGAAGUGCAUUAAAUCUAAACUGGACAUAGGUGGUCUUUUUGGAUCAUGAGGUCCUCCUAUCUAAACUAUCCUCACUUAAUGUGUCCACUGAAGUCAUUAGUUGGAUGUAUUCCUAUCUGACAAACAGAAGUCAAAGGGUUCGUUUGGGGGACACUCAGUCGGACUCUCUUUACUAUAACAUUGGGGUCCCACAGCGUCAAUAUUAGGCCUCCUUCUGUUUACCAUCUAUAUAAAUGAUCUCCCACUUGCUUGAACACAAGUUAACAUGCGGAUGUAUGCAGACGAUACGGUUCUGUAUGUACACUCCAAAAAUAGCCAAUUAGUUGUGAACAAGUUAACUGAAGCUAUGGUACAUGUUUCUAAAUGGAUGAGUAAUUAUUGCCUGCAUUUAAAUAUCGACAAAACUGUUUGUUUGUACUUCUCUAAGAAAUCCAUUGAUUCUUCCCAACGAGCUGUUCUUGCAAUGGGGAGAAUCUGAAAGUUGUGUCUAACUUCAGGUAUCUCGGCGUCAUUUUGGACUCCAACUCGACAUGUAAGAAACAUGUGAAGAAGGUGGUUAACACGGUUAAGUUUGGAUUAUCCAACUUUAGGUUUAUAAGACCGCUCCUUCCUCUGGAGGCCGCAAAACUAUAUAUGCAUGCUAUGGUCUUCUCACAUCUGAGAUAUUGCCUCACAUGCUGGUCACAAGCAGGAGCUACUCUACAAACAAACACUUAAGAUUUUUGAUAACAAACCUAACAGUUACCACCACCAUUGUCAUAUAAUUUACAAACAUAAUUACUUUAAGCAGUGUGUAGAUGCAAGCUUUGUCUUUAGGAUCCUGCAUGGUCUUGCCCCUCCACCCCUAUGCCGGCGUAUCAUGCUUAAAACGAACACAGCUCAAAAAUCACACUCUGGGAAUAGUGUGUACAUCACUGGUCAGAGAACAAUUUGUAGAAGACAGCUAGCUACAUUUUGAAGUGUCGCAUUUUGACUGAAAUGGGUCGCCAACUCUUUAAGUGUAAUGCAACACUUUUAGUUGUUACUCCAUUCCAUCGAUAUCACGCUGAAAUCAAUAGAACGGGGCAAACGUUUGGGGUGUAGCGCCAAAUAUUGUCUAUUACAUUGAGAAGAUAUUUGAGUGACCGCUCUAAUAAUGGAAAUGCAUGUCCUCAAAGAUGGAAGGCAGGCGGGAGGAGGUGAGAUCAGGUGGGACCAUUCUAACCUACAAGCGGGUAGAUACGCGUGUGAACCGUAGCAAGCUAUUUGCUUACUUUAGUUAUCGAGACGAUCGAUCUCUGUCGAAGGAGGAGCUGGAUUUUACAUAUUGUGUAUAUCUAUUUCCGUUUGUUGGCAAUGUCAAUUUUCUAAUAAAAAAAAAUAAAAAAAUUAUGUUCGCUAGCUGGACAGGCAAACUGAACUAAACUGUAAACCAAUCGAAACUUGAGUACUAUCCAUGGUACUAUCUCUGCUGAUCAAGUCUGCCAAUCACGUCAUCCAUAUCUAAGGUAGUAGACUGCUGGUGACAGAGAAAGAGAUCUCUGUCCGACAAACUGCUAUCAGCUCUGGAACGGAUGCUGUUUUACUUCCUGUGGGGAAGCAAGUGGGAGAGGCUGAGGAGGGAGGUGGUCAAGAGGCCCAGGUCCAAGGGGGGAAAGGCUUGCCUGACCUCUACUUGUUCCUGGGCAGCCACUAUACAUUGUUACAUCUCACUCUUGCCACCUCCCCGGGCAACAACAAGACCCAGGCCCUCGCACGGUUCUGGCUGGGAUCUUACAUCAGAACCCUGAGGCUGAUCCCAGUCGACCUGCAAGCCCAAGUCUCUUUCCUUCUCCCCACACACUACGCCCAGCUCCAGAAGUUUUUUAGACAUUUUAAACUGGAAAGGGAAGCAGUCACGGUUUUGACUGGGCACCGCUCUCUUCUCUCUUGUGCAGGAGUGGGAACCAGUGCGUCCAGUGUGCGGGCUUGCUAACGGUGAGCCCAUAACGGUUUGGUGUAAUGUGGCCCAUCCUGCUCUCCUGAAUUGGCACCGGGACCUGUCCUGGAUGGUCGCCCACGAGAUCCUCCCGGUCAAGGUCGUUAUGCACUCCCGGGGCAUGGCGAGGAUAUCCGUGUGCCCCCGACCAGGCUGCGGCCAAGAGAAGUCGGUGAGGCACUUGCUCUGGGAGUGCAGAGCCGCCAGGGACCUGUGGAAGGAAGCAGGCCCCCUGAUCUCCCCGUGUCUGUCAGCAGGGGAGGACCUAAUGCCCCAGCUCGUGCUGUAUGGGGUGGGCCGAAGGCCUAUUCCACCGAAGGCCUUCACCAAGCUCUGGCCCACCCUCACGUGUCUGAAGGAAGCACUGUGGUCCUCCUGUAACCUGCUGGUAGCGAAAUGAGUAGAGACCACCCCCCAGGCAGUGGCCAUGGUAGCCACGGAAGCCCUGGGGUGGUACAGAAGAAAGGGAGCCUCGACCCCAAGCGAAGGGUCCCCCACAACACCCAAGGUCCCGGCGGCCACGGCCUGACAGCGCUGCGGUGCCUAGGGCGAUGCACCUUGAGGAGGGAUCUCCUCUGGGACCUGAAGGACAGGACUGUGAUUGAUUCGGAAGAGCAGGAGGAGGCGAGUUUGAUAAGGACUCACCCUGCUCCUGUACAAAGGACCAAAGACAGCUUUUUAACAAAGUGACUUUUUCUUACAUGCUUUCAUGUCUUAAAAAUGUUUUACUUUUGUUAAAUCAUUUGUAC
rnacentral:lncRNA from 1 species